rnacentral:sRNA from 1 species
GAUACCAGGGUCAAAAGGUUAUGCGUUUCAUGCUUGCAUGAAAAAGCAUGACUUUGGAACCCGCAAAACAUGAGAAAGCAGCCCGGACAGGGCGGAUUUUGAAUGUUUUCAGGGGUGCGGGGCGCAAAGUACGCAGUAAUCCCCAGG